rnacentral:rRNA from 1 species
AUGGAGGAGGAUGACACGCUGGAUGGGUUCGCCGGCAAGCUCGGUGGCAUGGUGGCGUGCUUUGCGGGGCUUGGAUCGACGCUGGAAGAUACAACAUUGGUGAAGAAGCUGCUCGACUCCGUGUCGGACCUUCUAUAUGCGGCGGUGGCCGGAAUCGAGCAGUUCUGUGACGUCUCCACCAUGGCGUUCGAGGAGGCCCUGGGUUGGCUGAAGGCUUUUGACGAGCGGCUACGGCAAUGCGGGUAG